rnacentral:rRNA from 1 species
AUGGCGGCUGCACUUAUCGCCGCCACGCCCUCGCGGCCUCGCCUUUCCCGCUGGCAUUUGGAGACGGAGGCCUCUCCUCGCGGCUCCGCCGCCUGCACUCCGCCCGAGGGAUCCAGCCUCCCUCCUCCCAGAAUCCCGCCACCUCCCCGCAAAGCUCUCGCUCCCGUCGCCAGAGCCGCAUGCGCGCCGGCGCGGGCGCGACGGAGGAGCCGGGCCAGGCGCCCGGCGACUAGGCCGCGCUUGCGGGGUGGCUGGCGCUGGGCGCGUUCCUGUGCUCCGCCGCCCUGCUCGGCUGCCGUGGCGCGGCACUCACGGCGGCCGAGGACUCCAUCAAGGCGUCUGGGUUCGGGCUGCGGGUGGCGGCAUCGCUUCGGAGGCUGGGCUGGCCCGACGACGAUGUCGUGUUCACCCUUGCCACAUUGUCGGUGCUCAAGAUGCGCAGAGCGAUUCCGGUCGGGUAUUGGAUUUGGAUGCGCCUUCACCCCAUCCGGUUGA